CUCUUUCUAUACCUGUGAAAUGAGGAUAAUGCCAGACAUGUGAGAAUUAGAUGAGAUAAUAUUAGGAUAAUGUUGACCACAUGAUAAGAAUUUAAUAUAUCUUUUCUUUCCGUCUUAUUUUCAAGUUUAAUCUGAUUGGUAGAGGGUUAUCAAUAAAUUUGGGGGUGAUGAUUCUUGGAGAUGGUUCUUAACUCUGUUACCUCCUGGUAUUCUCUCUUCCUAGGUGAAAUCAGAGGCCAAAUGGGUUGACUGUUGGAACCUAACCUUCAAAGGAACUUAAAUUUUCUGUUAUGAAAAGUUCAUGGGGAAAAUGGAACCUUAGCCACACCAGCUGAGAAUGCCCCCACCCCCAGAUCCACUUGUUUUCUCACAUCACUGUUGAUAUCAAGAUUCAUGAACUGGUACAACAGAGUCUUACAAAGAGAUGCCUACGGACACACGCAGGCUUUCAGUCUGUAAUAUGAGGCUUCAGUGACUCAUUCUGUGCAGAUCUAAGUGAGGUGUACAAUCUGGGGCCUCCAGAUGCUUGCUGAAAUCUACUCAGGGCCACUUCUGAAGGCUGAGUCUCAGAAACUCAAAUGGUUUUUACAGUCACAAUAUCUAUCACCUGUAAUGACAAUAUGAAGAAGAGGCUGCUCCCUGAUGGAUUUGGAAACUUACUGGCUAGUUAAACCUGACCGAAGAGGAAGGGACUUGGAUUAGCCUUGGAAAUCUAGGAUUCACUAGAUGAUCUAGAAUUUGUAUUUUGACAAUUUGCAAGGAGAACUCCUGAGCCAAGGGAUCUCUCUUGGUGCUGCAUUGCAUGGGCUGGGGAGAAGGGUGACACAGAUGUGAGCUCCUCAUGAGCAGAAUUGAGGCCUUGUAUUCCCUCUACACCAGCACAGAUCCCACAAAACACAGCAGAGCCACCUGCAGGCCCCACAUCCUCCUAGGUGAGGUGUUUAUGUAAAGGUGGAGAGCAGAGUAAUCAGCAGCUUAUUCUGCUGGCAAAACUCUAAGGGGGAGGCAGAUGGCCAGCACCAGCUAAGUGAGAUCAGGUCAUGGGUGGAAAAGUCAUAAAUCUGUGGUUUACCUCAGAUUACUGCAUUACUGCUUAAGUGGGGAUAAAUAAUACCCUAUGUUAUGUUAAGGCGUGACUUAAUCUUUCACUGUUUGUGGGAAAGGAGGUGCAAUUAAAUAUUACAACACCCUUUCAAAAUACAAACACUUCAACAAUACAUAUGGCUACUGAUCUUAUCACAAAAUAGAUGGUAGUUAGAGCAGUGAGUUCCUGGCUGGUGUGUCAUGGAAAAUAGAAGUGGAUUUUAGUCCUCUGUUUUAUAAGGGUGACUAUGUGCGUGCUGUGAGUGGUAGGCAGUGGAAAAGAUCCCUGAUGAAAUAACAGAGAGUGUCUUUUGGUGGGGAGGGUGUUGCAGUCUUUGUGAGUAGAGUUACAAAACGUCUUUACAAAACAUCUUUCUCUGCACCAGAGAAUGAGGCCCAAAGAGCCAUUUUCAGGAUUGACGAUGGCUGUAAUGGAGCCACCUGGAAUCAUACCAAAGCUAAGGUGAGUUUAGGAGGGGCCCAAAGGUGACAGCAUGGGCUUUUGCUCUCUGAGCUAAGGUUCUUUGGUUAUUUCAAUAUAUUUUCCAUUAUACCUACUAAUUGCACGUUAGUUCCUUGACAGAGAGACAAGGUCUGGUUCAUUUUAUAAUAUGCCGAGCAUAAAAUUGGCACUCAGUAAAUUUAUAGUAAUAUACAAGUCAGCAUGUAGCAUAGCGUCCCACCUUUAUUAUUUGUGAUUAUUUAUGUUUGGGAUUAGGAUUAAAACACAAGGUAGAUUUCAGCCUGUGUAAGGGAAUUUUUCCUCUGUGGAUGGUGACUUUCCCUUGGAAGAAAAAAGCAGAACCCAAAUGAUGAGUAGGUCUCAUAAAACAAAAGAUUGAUUUUUCUGGUCACUGUGGCCCAGCUUGUUCUAGUUUGUUAAACGUGCCUCUCGAAGUCAGAUGCAAAAGUUGAGGCCCUAAUGGUUGACUAUGCCUUCCCCAACCACACACAUCCUCUGGUCCGCUUCCUGAGUCUUGUGAAAAAAUAAGCCAAUUAGAGAUCCACUCUCUACCCACUUCUUAGGUAACAGCCUACUAAUCCUGAGAGGGAGAGAGAUGGACCAGUGAGAAACUGAUUUUACCCUGGUAGACUGGAUAGGGGCUUGAGAGAGAUGGGGGGAGGGUUGGUGUUACAUGGGUACAUUUGGAGUAAUGCUGUGACAUUCAGCCCUAAUCCUUAGGUUUUCUUGGAGAUGGAAAUCUCCACAGUUGAGGCUUGGUCCAGAGCAACUGCUAAAAGGCAUAAUUAUCCUCGUAGGAAGAAAGCCCAACCCGUGAGAAUCUUCUAUACUGGAUCAAGGUCAAGCAGAUUAGGACCAUUUGCAGCUUCUCCUCCUACUUCAAACAUCCUUUGCUUUAUAAAUAGCUGGCCUUAAAGAAUGCUUUAUUCCGUUCUUAACAUUGUUGAGUGCUUACCAUGCCGUGUGCCAAGCAUACAUGUAGUUUUUUAUGUAUGGAUUUAUCUAUCCUCACAACUACUAUGAGGAGAUACGAUUCUUUCUCCACUUUACGGGUGAGAUAACUAACACAGGUACCUUGAUCAAGCACACACCUCUCGUAAGGUGCACAGCUGAGGUCUGAACCCUGGCAACCUGGCUCGUUAGCACUCAUCUCAAUCACCAAACACUACUCACGUGGGAUGCUCUAAAUCGCUGGGAAAAGUCCAUGGAAGCUAUCCUGCAAUCAUAUAUCCUUGUAUAAUGCGUAUGUGCAUAUAUGUAUAAAUGUAACUUUCAUAGAAUUAUAACUUUUAUAUGUUUUACAUAUAGAUGUAUAAUUUACAAAUAUAAUUUCCAUAGUCAUCUGCACAUGUAAUAAUAAAUGUACAUUUUCAUAUAGCUAUUUACAUGGUAAUUUGCAUAAAGAGGAGGGUGUGGAAGGGAUUUAUUGUUGGUGUUUUUUGUAUUCACCUCUUUGCUGUGUCUUUCAUGAUUUCUUUAUGAUAAACAUA